AGCGAAGUGGCGCAGCGGAAGCGCGCAAGGCUCAUAACCUUGAGGUCCUACGAUCGAAACGUAGCUUCGCUA
rnacentral:tRNA from 1 species